UAGCAGUCUUGAAAGAACUGCGAGAUUGAUUUUAUGAGGCUCUGCUUCCCCCUCCCCCACUUCUCCUCCCUGGAAUAUUUUAAACAUGAGAAACACAGUUUUGAUGAUAAAACACUGGAAAUUCAUCACUUCACCAGAAUUAUUCUAGGCAGUGGAAAAGUGGCAAGACACAAGACAAAUCACAGCUUUGCUCUCUUGGGGCUAACAUGGUAGUCAAAAAGAGACAAUAAAAAAUUAACUGAUAACUCACGGCGAACUAUUUGUGAUUUACGAAGGUAAGUAGGUUCUU